rnacentral:rRNA from 1 species
UACGUAGGAGGCGAGCGUUGUCCGGAUUCAUUGGGCGUAAAGCGCGCGUAGGCGGCUCGGAAAGUCGGUCGUGAAAUGCCGGGGCUCAACCCCGGGACUGCGUCCGAUACUCCCGAGCUGGAGGCAGGUAGGGGAGAUCGGAAUUCCUGGUGUAGCGGUGAAAUGCGCAGAUAUCAGGAGGAACACCGGUGGCGAAGGCGGAUCUCUGGGCCUUGCCUGACGCUGAGGCGCGAAAGCUAGGGGAGCGAACAGG